rnacentral:rRNA from 1 species
GUGGAUUAGAUACCCUGGUAGUCCACGCCGUAAACGAUGAUUACUCGCUGUUGGCGAUACACUGUCAGCGGCUAAGCAAAAGCAAUAAGUAAUCCACCUGGGGAGUACGGCCGCAAGGUUGAAACUCAAAGGAAUUGACGGGGGCCCGCACAAGCGGAGGAACAUGUGGUUUAAUUCGAUGAUACGCGAGGAACCUUACCUGGGCUUAAAUGUAGAGUGCAUUUUCUAGAGAUAGGAAUUCCCUUCGGGGCUUUCUGCAAGGUGCUGCACGGCCGUCGACAGCU